rnacentral:rRNA from 1 species
GGGUUGUGAGGUUAAGCGACUAAGCGUACACGGUGGAUGCCCUGGCAGUCAGAGGCGAUGAAGGGCGUGCUAAUCUGCGAUAAGCGCCGGUAAGGUGAUAUGAACCGUUAUAACCGGCGAUACCCGAAUGGGGAAACCCAGUGUGACUCGUCACACUAUCAUUAACUGAAUCCAUAGGUUAAUGAGGCGAACCGGGGGAACUGAAACAUCUAAGUACCCCGAGGAAAAGAAAUCAACCGAGAUUCCCCCAGUAGCGGCGAGCGAACGGGGAGGAGCCCAGAGCCUGAAUCAGCAUGUGUGUUAGUGGAAGCGUCUGGAAAGGCGCGCGAUACAGGGUGACAGCCCCGUACACAAAAGCGCAUGUGCUGUGAGCUCGAUGAGUAGGGCGGGACACGUGGUAUCCUGUCUGAAUAUGGGGGGACCAUCCUCCAAGGCUAAAUACUCCUGACUGACCGAUAGUGAACCAGUACCGUGAGGGAAAGGCGAAAAGAACCCCGGCGAGGGGAGUGAAAAAGAACCUGAAACCGUGUACGUACAAGCAGUGGGAGCNNGUGACUGCGUACCUUUUGUAUAAUGGGUCAGCGACUUAUAUUCUGUAGCAAGGUUAACCGAAUAGGGGAGCCGUAGGGAAACCGAGUCUUAACCGGGCGUUAAGUUGCAGGGUAUAGACCCGAAACCCGGUGAUCUAGCCAUGGGCAGGUUGAAGGUUGGGUAACACUAACUGGAGGACCGAACCGACUAAUGUUGAAAAAUUAGCGGAUGACCUGUGGCUGGGGGUGAAAGGCCAAUCAAACCGGGAGAUAGCUGGUUCUCCCCGAAAGCUAUUUAGGUAGCGCCUCGUGAAUUCAUCUCCGGGGGUAGAGCACUGUUUCGGCUAGGGGGCCAUCCCGGCUUACCAACCCGAUGCAAACUGCGAAUACCGGAGAAUGUUAUCACGGGAGACACACGGCGGGUGCUAACGUCCGUCGUGAAGAGGGAAACAACCCAGACCGCCAGCUAAGGUCCCAAAGUCAUGGUUAAGUGGGAAACGAUGUGGGAAGGCCCAGACAGCCAGGAUGUUGGCUUAGAAGCAGCCAUCAUUUAAAGAAAGCGUAAUAGCUCACUGGUCGAGUCGGCCUGCGCGGAAGAUGUAACGGGGCUAAACCAUGCACCGAAGCUGCGGCAGCGANNGUUGGGUAGGGGAGCGUUCUGUAAGCCUGUGAAGGUGGCCUGUGAGGGUUGCUGGAGGUAUCAGAAGUGCGAAUGCUGACAUAAGUAACGAUAAAGCGGGUGAAAAGCCCGCUCGCCGGAAGACCAAGGGUUCCUGUCCAACGUUAAUCGGGGCAGGGUGAGUCGACCCCUAAGGCGAGGCCGAAAGGCGUAGUCGAUGGGAAACGGGUUAAUAUUCCCGUACUUGGUGUUACUGCGAAGGGGGGACGGAGAAGGCUAUGUUGGCCGGGCGACGGUUGUCCCGGUUUAAGCGUGUAGGCUGGUUUUCCAGGCAAAUCCGGAAAAUCAAGGCUGAGGCGUGACGACGAGGCACUACGGUGCUGAAGCAACAAAUGCCCUGCUUCCAGGAAAAGCCUCUAAGCAUCAGGUAACAUCAAAUCGUACCCCAAACCGACACAGGUGGUCAGGUAGAGAAUACCAAGGCGCUUGAGAGAACUCGGGUGAAGGAACUAGGCAAAAUGGUGCCGUAACUUCGGGAGAAGGCACGCUGACACGUAGGUGAAGUGAUUUACUCAUGGAGCUGAAGUCAGUCGAAGAUACCAGCUGGCUGCAACUGUUUAUUAAAAACACAGCACUGUGCAAACACGAAAGUGGACGUAUACGGUGUGACGCCUGCCCGGUGCCGGAAGGUUAAUUGAUGGGGUCAGCGCAAGCGAAGCUCCUGAUCGAAGCCCCGGUAAACGGCGGCCGUAACUAUAACGGUCCUAAGGUAGCGAAAUUCCUUGUCGGGUAAGUUCCGACCUGCACGAAUGGCGUAAUGAUGGCCAGGCUGUCUCCACCCGAGACUCAGUGAAAUUGAACUCGCUGUGAAGAUGCAGUGUACCCGCGGCAAGACGGAAAGACCCCGUGAACCUUUACUAUAGCUUGACACUGAACAUUGAGCCUUGAUGUGUAGGAUAGGUGGGAGGCUUUGAAGUGUGGACGCCAGUCUGCAUGGAGCCGACCUUGAAAUACCACCCUUUAAUGUUUGAUGUUCUAACGUGGACCCGUGAUCCGGGUUGCGGACAGUGUCUGGUGGGUAGUUUGACUGGGGCGGUCUCCUCCUAAAGAGUAACGGAGGAGCACGAAGGUUGGCUAAUCCUGGUCGGACAUCAGGAGGUUAGUGCAAUGGCAUAAGCCAGCUUGACUGCGAGCGUGACGGCGCGAGCAGGUGCGAAAGCAGGUCAUAGUGAUCCGGUGGUUCUGAAUGGAAGGGCCAUCGCUCAACGGAUAAAAGGUACUCCGGGGAUAACAGGCUGAUACCGCCCAAGAGUUCAUAUCGACGGCGGUGUUUGGCACCUCGAUGUCGGCUCAUCACAUCCUGGGGCUGAAGUAGGUCCCAAGGGUAUGGCUGUUCGCCAUUUAAAGUGGUACGCGAGCUGGGUUUAGAACGUCGUGAGACAGUUCGGUCCCUAUCUGCCGUGGGCGCUGGAGAACUGAGGGGGGCUGCUCCUAGUACGAGAGGACCGGAGUGGACGCAUCACUGGUGUUCGGGUUGUCAUGCCAAUGGCACUGCCCGGUAGCUAAAUGCGGAAGAGAUAAGUGCUGAAAGCAUCUAAGCACGAAACUUGCCCCGAGAUGAGUUCUCCCUGAGACUUUA